AGCAGCAGUGAAAAGAAAACUAAAACGAAAACGAAAACGUCGACGCGUACGGAAAGAAUUUAGCUGCUCUUUUCGUUUUUUAUUUAUUUAUUUGCUUUAAGUGCAUUUUAAAAUAAACAAAUUGAAUGGGCAUCAAUGCAUUUCGGCAUAAUACAAUACAAUAAAUUUAAGUGAAAUUGUGUAAAAUUGAGUAUAGCUAUUUUAAAGCGAAUUUCUACUUGCGUUUCCUUGCUCAUUGUCUCGUCGCGUAGUCCGUCUCGUUCGGUUGAUUGCAGUGGCGGCGAAGCAGCAGAGAUAGCGACAAAUUGUGCUCCGAAAAUCCGAUUUUAAUAUAACUCCGCGAAGAUAUCAAAUAAAAUAUGCAAUUGAACAACGCGCUUCAAAUAAACAGUCGACGGUCAGACAGAUUGCUGACUGACUGCUGAAUGCCGCCCUAGAAAGUAAACAAUAUAAACUAACAACAACAACAGCAAAUAAUAACAAAAACCGACUAAAGCAAAGCUAUAAGUGGAAAUUAAAACCGACAAUGAUGGCCGUAACAACAGCAGCAGCAGCAGCAGCUUAGUAUUAAACAUAUACACAUAUGUAUAUACACACAUGCAUACUUGAAGAAGUGCAAGAACUGCUGAAGAAAGUCUUGAGUCUCCAACGUAGUCGUAGUCAUCUGCAUAUUAACUGCAAUAUACACAUAUAUACAUACAAACAUACAAACAUAUGUACAAAUAUACAUAUAAUUGCGUGUGAAAAGUUCGACAAGAGCGCUGUGCAGAGCAUUUUCAAGCUUAACGCACUUCCAGCCUAACUUAGCCGUAGGUGUGUGAUAAAGUGAAAUACAUAUCAGACACAAUUUUAAUGCAUACACGUUAUCAACGUGGCCAACAACAGCGACAAGCACAUCAGCAACAUAAUCAUAAUAUAUUUUAUUGCAUUAGAAAACGCAUAAAUUUAGAAAAAAACAGUAAAUAUUUACAUUAGUGGCACCGUAAAUGCCAAGUUUGCGACAAUAUUAACAGCUAAAGUGAUUUUGGUUGGCAACUAAUGGAUCCAUAUCAUCAUAUCAGACAUCAUUAUCCACCCACGCGUCCCGAAUUGCAACAAAAAUGCAAUCGCGGCUCUCAUUCGAGUGACACAAGCUCAGCGUAUAGUGGCAGCGAUACAAUGGCAUCCGUAUACGGCUCCUCAAUGGAUGCGGAGGAGAUUGAUCUGUCCGGUUUGGUGGAGUCAGUGGUGGACUCCGAUGAGGAGGACUUGGCGGAGAGCAUGGAUAGUCUAAAUGUGCGCGAUGCGGUACGUGAUUGCCUGGAGAAAGAUCCCUCCGAACGCACAGAGGAAGAUGUCGAAAUACUGCUCGAAUUCACACAAGGUUUGAAGGCCUUCACCAAUAUCACGUUGGCGGUGCGACGCGCACUCUGCGCCGUCAUGGUGUUUGCUGUAGUCGAUAAGGCUGGCACUGUGGUAAUGUCAGAUGGUGAAGAGCUCGAUUCCUGGUCGGUGCUUAUUAAUGGCGCCGUGGAGAUCGAGCAUGCGAAUGGCACGCGUGAAGAACUGCAAAUGGGUGAUUCCUUUGGCAUACUACCCACCAUGGAUAAGCUAUAUCACCGUGGCGUAAUGCGCACCAAAUGUGACGAUUGUCAAUUCGUUUGCAUAACGCAAACCGAUUACUAUCGCAUACAGCAUCAGGGUGAGGAGAAUACGCGACGACACGAAGAUGAGGACGGGCGUAUAGUGAUGGUCACCGAAUUGCGUCAAAUCGGCAGUAAUGAACAUGGUACCGCGGGCAGUAAUGCGACCGCCGCAAGUGCCGCAGGCAUGAAACGUGGACAUGUCGUGAUACGCGGCACACCCGAACGUUUGCUGCAACAGUUGGUGGAGGAGAAUUCAAUGACUGAUCCGACAUAUGUGGAGGAUUUUUUGCUCACACAACGUAUUUUCAUCAAAAAUCCACAAGAAGUAACACAAAAAUUGCUCGCCUGGUUCGAGUGUGAUGCCGAGCCGCCAAAGGGUAGCACUGCAUCGCCACAAGAGAUACGCGAUCGCGUGACACGCGUUGUCUUGCUAUGGGUUAACAAUCAUUUUACCGACUUUGAGGCUGAUCAUGAAAUGAUGGAGUUCCUGGAGGUAUUCGAGGCUGGUUUGGAGCAUACGCGACUGCUGAGUCAACUGCGUUUGCUACACAUAGCGUGCGCGGCCAAAGCGCGCAUGCGUAGUUGUACAUUGACACGUUCGUCACGUGAUGAACCAUUAAAUUUCAAUAUUAUCGGCGGUUAUGAGAUGCGCGGCAUUACGGCGGCGACUGGCGUUGGCGGUUGUGGCAUAUACAUAGCACAUGUAGUGCCCAUUUCGAAGGCGCAGGAUGUGGGUCUAAAACGUGGCGAUCAAAUACACGAGGUGAACGGUCAGUCCUUCGAACAUGUGACGAGUAAACGUGCAAUGGAAAUACUAAUGGGUAGCACACAUCUGAGUAUAACGGUGAAAAGCAAUCUGCUUGGCUUUAAAGAGAUGAUGUUAGCCAUUGAACAAGGUGGCAAUGGUAGCAGUGGCAGCAAUGGUGCCGGCACGCCUAUCGGUAGUGGCAGCGGCAGCAGCGGCGGCUCACUCGGCAGCAAAUCAUUACGCAGUCCACGUCGGAUAUGCGCCAACGACAUUGCCAAGUUACAUGGACGCUGCAUGUUGGACGAUAUGACCACUGCAAAUCGUUCGCAUAUGUUGCGACUCAGCUCAGUCGAUAUGCUAUUGCCCACAGACCAAACGGACUGUUGUCCGCCAGCGACGCCACCACCGAUAAUGCCGCAACAGCCGAAUAGCGGCGGUGGUAAUAUGGCCAGUAAUUUUAUGUCGAAUCUUUUGCAAAGUGUUAGUAAUGCAUCGGCGCGCAAGGACUCCCAAGCCAAUUGCAAUGACGGUGGUGGUGGUUCCAAAGGUGGUGGUUUUAUGACGCUUGCGCCAAGGCGACGUAUACAAAAAGCAUUAGCGAAAAUGAAUUUGCUGCAGCACAAAAGUAUCGGUGGCGCGGGUUUGAAUGAUUCAGUCGAUAUAGCCACGCCCACGGAAACGAUGUCACAAAAAGCCGGCAAACUGACCGCUUCCUCAUCCAGUUCCUCAUCUACCUGCGGCGGUGUUGGCGGUGGCAAUCGCCUUUACCAAUCGCAAUCCAAUCCGGAUUUGAGCUCGUCACUGCUGUACGAAGACGCCACUUCUCUAACAACCAGCACUGCUACAGCACCUACGCCAACUCCCAACUAUCUGACUGCCUCCAUGCAUCGGCCAUCAGCCGUUUCCACAACAAGCUCCGCUAUGCUGCCUGAUUACCCCGAGCAUGUGUUGAAAGUCUUCAAGGCAGAUCAGUCGUGCAAAUAUUUGCUCAUCAAUAAGGAGACGACGGCGCACGAAGUUGUUAUGUUGGCGCUGCAAGAGUUCGGCAUACAUGACCCCAGCUCGAAUUACUCGCUGUGUGAGGUUAGCGUCGGUGAAGGUGGCAUGGUAAAACAACGUCGCCUGCCCGAUCAACUGCAGAACUUAGCCGAACGUAUUGGUUUUGCAGCGCGCUACUAUUUGAAAACAAACGGCAGCACUGAAACGCUGGUGCCCGACGAAUUGGCGCUCGAGUUGGUGCGUGAGUCAAGUGUGCAUUUUCUGCAGCUGAACGCCUAUGAAUUGGCCAUACAAUUGACACUGCAAGACUUCGCCAUCUUUCGGCAAAUCGAAUCGACUGAGUAUAUCGAUGAUCUGUUCAAUCUGAAGACGAAAUAUGGUGUGCCAAUGUUAACAAAAUUUGCCGAACUCGUUAAUCGUGAAAUGUUUUGGGUCGUCACAGAGAUCUGCGGCGAACAUAAUAUUGUGCGUCGCAUGAAAAUUGUUAAGCAAUUCAUAAAAAUUGCACGUCACUGCAAAGAGUGUCGCAAUUUCAAUUCCAUGUUCGCCAUUAUAUCUGGACUCGGACAUGCGGCUGUGUCACGCUUGCGUCUUACCUGGGAAAAACUGCCUUCUAAAUAUCAACGGCUCUUCUCCGAUUUGCAAGAUCUCAUGGACCCCUCACGCAAUAUGUCCAAAUAUCGCCAACUUGUCUCUUCCGAACUGCUCGCACAACAUCCCAUCAUACCGUUCUAUCCGAUUGUGAAGAAGGAUCUCACCUUCAUUCAUCUGGGCAAUGACACGCGCAUUGAAGGUCUCAUAAACUUUGAAAAAUUACGUAUGCUCGCCAAGGAGGUGCGUCUACUCACGCAUAUGUGCUCUUCCCCCUACGAUCUGCUCGCCAUACUCGAACUUAAAGGUCAAUCGCCCUCGAAUGCGCUCUUCUCGCUCAAUCAGCUGUCCACUUCACAAAAUGCCGGUGGCACACACAGCACCGUUAUCGCCGCCAACGCUGGCCAAUCGACUAUUAAACGUCGCAAAAAGUCGACAGCGGCACCGAAUCCAAAGAAAAUGUUCGAAGAGGCACAAAUGGUGCGUCGCGUCAAGGCAUACCUGAAUAAUCUGAAAAUCAUCAGCGAUGAGGAUGCACUGCACAAAUUCUCGCUUGAAUGCGAACCAGCAUCUAAUUCACAAACACAUGGUGGCAGCAGCGGUAGUACACGCGGUGAAAGCGGUUUGGGCCGUGAUGGCACCGGCAACUCUUCGACACGUAGCGGUGAUCAGCUCAGCAUCUAUUCGCACACAUCAUCCUCAUCGGCACCGAAUUCAUCAUUGUCGCUGCGCAAACGUCCUCCCUCGUCGCCAACACUCUCCACCACCAGCUCAACAUCGUCGACCAGCGAUCAUCAUAAUCGUCGCAAUAUGGCGCUCAAUAACAACUCAAAAUUUGGCAUCGCCUCACCGCAAGCCGUCAAAAAGAUACUGGCGCUAUCCGAUCCGACAAAAGUGCGUCCACAUCAACCGUUUACAGCGCGUCAUUCAGGCAUGCCACCACCACCGCCACCACUGCUAGUUAAUACACCGCAUCAUAUACUUGCGCAUGCGUACAGCAACACCCCAGCGGGCAUGCCUUUAACUGCCGCAGCUGGCACUUCCACAACGCCAAGUCCGUGUACGCAUCGACGUCUGGCAUCCGGCAGCAAUUCAAUGCCUGCAGGUAAUAUGGUACCCGUUCGGGCCAUACAUGAACGUUCAAAUUCGGAUACGCCAACGCCACCACUACCAUCUGUUGAUCUCUCAGCCGAAAGCAGUAGCGUUACCACAUUUCGAGACUUGCCUUUGCGCAAAUCUGUGACUUCGGACGCUGAUCAUCUAAUUUAAUAUGUAUAACAGCGUGUCGGCUUACACACAACCACUACGUUCACACGUAAACACGUUUACAUACAUUCUUACACUGUAGUUUUGCAAAAAUUGAGACGCAACUGUAGUUGGGUAUUUGAACAAUUUUUAACUUUUUUUAGUUUACAAUACAUAAUUUUCUGUUGUCUCAUCAUUAUUUCACACCAAAAACAACCAAACGACGAAAAAAACACCAAAAACCAAAACAAAAACAAAUGCAACAAAACAUUGGAUAAAAUAACACGCUGCAAUUAAACACAAUGCCGCUGACGUGCCAACAACGACAACAACAACAACUUAUAUGCAACAACACUACACGUACACUGCACUUUGCACAUAUACAUAUAUUAUCACAUCAUCACCAUCCAUCAUAGGCUCGGUGUCAUCCAGCGACAGCGGACACGGCUCAUAUGCGCAACAACAUGACACUAGUAGCUCGGUUUACACCGCCGCCGAUUGUCGACUGCUGCAGCAAAUCUCCAAUACGGCAGCACGCAAUUUGAGCGGAAGCGGCGGCGCUGGCAGCAGCAGCAGUAAUAGUAGUAGCGGCAGCAAUAGCAGUACACCAACUACACCGAUACCACCACCGCCACCGUAUCACAUGUUGCGCAGUGCCGCACACAAUGCCGCCAAUAGCAUGUAUCACGCGAAUGCGACAAGUGCGGCACCACUGCCGCCACCGCCUUACCCGCGCUUGCAUUGUGGUGAGACCAUGGUUGCGCCGCUGAUGCAUCCAGCGCACACACGACAUUCCAAUAUGCAUGGCGGCACUCCGAAUUUCGUUGAUGGCAACAACAAAUGCCCAAUGUGCCCAACAAUGUCGCCACCAUCAAAUAUGAAUCAGUAAAAUGUUUGAAAAACAUGUUUUGAGAUUAUGUAUAAUUUUUAGAUUUAGAAUAAAAAACCAAAAAUGCCAAAACUACUUUUUGGUUGUGUUAAAAAUGCAAAUAACUGACAACCAAACUAUUUUAGAACAACAACAAAAAACAACAAACUAAAAACCAAAUUGACUGCAAAUUAUUUAUACCCACAAUAUAAACCAAUCUGUUCUUCCUAUUCGGUAAUGAGAUGCUAAAUGAAACUUUGUCGUCCAUUGAAAGUGAAAUGCAAACAAAAAAAGCCUACUCCGCCAGAUGCCACCACCGUUUUUGAACGUAAUAUACACAAAUAUUUAUUUUCGUAUAUAUUUAACAGAGACUAAAGCAAAGUAGCCAAAUGAGAGAAAGUAAUAUAUAAUAUAUAUAAACAUAUAUGUAAAUGCUGACAGCAAGAAGUGCAAAAAAAAUAUUAUAAAGUUGAUGAAGGCAAACUAAAUAUUUUAAAUUUUAAAGAAUUGCUUGUUAAAGUAUAUAAGACAUGCCUAUAUAUGUACAUAAGUAUAUAGCUAAUGUAAGGAAAUUUAAAUAGAGGAAAGAAAUUGCUAAAAACUACAAAAUUUACACAAACACACUUACCCUUGUAGACACACCCACAUAAUCAAUGGCAUUUGUGCGAUUUUUUAUAUAAUGUAAGCAUAAUAUUAUAUAUUUACAAAAACUUUUUUUUUAUUUUUAUUUUAAGUUUUAUUGCUAUGAGAAGUAAUAUAUUUAUAAUUUCUACUAUAACUUUUUACCUUUUCGAAAGUAAACCCAAAAACAAAAACAUAAAAAAUAUUUAAUUAAAAAAAGAAAUUCUAAAAUUCUUUGAUUAAUAAUAAAAAAUAGUUAGUUGUAAGUUAAGUGAAUAAAUCAAAAUGGUUUUAAUUAUUUGUUUCGUUUUUAGUUUUCGCUUAAAAUUAAUAUGAAAUAUUGCGCUUUUAGCACGCUACUUUUAAUAUAAUUAAUCAUUAUUGUCUUUUUGUCGCAUUGUAAUUUAAGUAUGUAAAGAAAUAAAUACAAAAAUAUAUAUAAAUAUUAAAAGUUGCUAACAAAAAAGUGUAUACUGUGAAACAUAUUAAAUUAUUAAAAUAAUAUGUAAUAAAUGUACGCAAGUAUUUACCCCCAAAUAAAGAGCUACUGCUACCGGUGUGUGUACUAUAAGCGCUACUGUAAGCGAGUACACUUUUGAUAAGCCGAGCUUUUGAAAAUGGUAAAAAGUUAAAAAAAAAAUUCAUAGCAGGUUGAAAUUCAUUGCAAAAGAAAGAUAAAAUAACAAAAACGAAAAAAAAAAUAUUUUGGCGGCCGACCUUAGGUCGGAUAGAGGAAGGAAAGGUUGAGUUUUUAAGGGUUAAAUUAGUUAAUCUAGAUUUCCGCUAUAACUACGAAUUCAUAGAAAAUAGUUUUAUGGCAAAGUUGUAGAUAAUGAAAAGAGCUACAUUUUUCGUACCAACAAUUUUUACAUAUAACCUCAAGGUGUAUGUGAAAAAUUAUAAUAACCGAGUUUUUGGGGUUUUUUUUUAUUUUUUUCUCGUACAAUAAUGAAAAUUGUUUAUACCAACUCAAGGCAGAGAUUUCAACGAAUAUAAAGCUUACUGCCCUUUUAAAAAAAUUAAUAUUUUGAACUGAGAAUUUUUGUUAGAAAAUUUGUGUUUUUUUUUUUCAUUAUUAAGUCAAAAACAGCCGAAAAGAAAAUAUUUUUUGGAGCAUAAGGUGGUAAGCUUACGCCAAAUUUCGUGAAAAAGAAAUUUUUUGUACAAUAUCAAAAUAAAAGUAUUAAAACCUUAGUGAUUUUAAUUUUUCAAAUAAAUUUUGAGCUUAUGUGAAAAAAAAAUUCAACCAUCUCCUUCCUCCUACAGACCACAGAUCGCCUAUAAAUUAUAUUUCUUUUAAUUUAUCUUAGUUUUUGAAUGUUUUGCAACCUACUAUAAUUUUUUUUUGCUUUCAGAAAUUAUCUACCCCGGUCUAUGAUGCGUUUAACGGCGUUUAAAUAAAGUCACAUAAUGCCUAAAUGUUGUUUAGCUCUGGAAAUUCAAUAAUUUAUCUUUUUUUUUUAAUCACAUAAGACACACAAAAAAUAUAAUUUUGCAACUAAGCUGACUGACAAAUUUAUAACUAUUUAUAAUCCCAAGCAUAUAAGUAAGCUCUGACGCGCACAUUUCAUGCCGAAAACAAACACCGGCAACAAACUUUCAUAGCAUUUACACAUUUUCAUAAAUAAUUUUGUUACACAAAAAUAUAUAUAACUAUAUUUAUACAAAUUUAUUUCGCAAUAUUGCUAACUGGCUAGCAGCGUUCAAGGCAAACAUUCAAUAUUUAUAAAAAGAAAAAACUCAAAACAAAAAUCAUAUAUUUUAUUAGUAUUUAAGCAUGCCAACAUUAAUGUGUGUUUGUGUGUGGAUGAGCAAAAGCGAAAAGUAAUCUGCCUACAUAUGGGCUAUAAAGUACAAGUGUAUAGCUUAAUAUUUAAGUGAAGUCAAUCAAGCGAGGUUAUAUAUGUAGCGUGGGCCAGGCCAGUAGUUGAGUGCAUAGCCAGCAUGUGCGUUGAUAAUUUUCGUAACGAAACCAAAUUUUGUUUGUCUUUGCUGCUUUUUAAUAUUGAAAAAAAAAAAAAUAGAAAAGUGGUAUAUCUUUUUAAGCUGUUGGUUACACUACAUAAAUUAGCAGUACAUGUGCCAGUUGGCAUUCUCAUAUCAAGCAAGCAAAGAAGAAGCUUUCAAUAAUACAUAUACAUAUAUACUUUGCAAAUUAGUAUAAUUGGAUGUAAAGCCGCUUGGAAAAACAUUUAAAGCUUUUAAUUUUUUUUUCACUUUAGCAGUAGAUGUUUAGAAAUUCAUUUUAAUUUUCAAAGAUGUUUUCGUACUUUCACAAAAAGCGAAAUAACAAAAAACUUAAGAAACGGAAAAGCAGCAGAAACUAGCAAGAAAAUAUCAAAAUGUUGUCUUUUACAAUCACUUCAUAUUUCAGGAAUCAUGACUCAAUGAAAUAAGGUUGUGUCGAUAGCCCAAAAACAAAAAUUUGUCACACGUGUUUAAAUCCAUAUGAUUCAAAAAUAAAAUUUUCAAAAAUUUUAAACAAAAUUUAAGAGGCAGCAGCUCGGAAGUAAUUAAGACAACUUUAUAUAAUUUAAUAAUGUCAUUGAAGAAACUUCAAAAAAAUUUUGGAAAAAAAAAUGUGACAUUUGUUUAAUGCUAUUUUUGCACAAGUUUCUUUUUGAUAUUUCAUUAUGAAGAAUAUUAAUUUUUUUUAAUACCUUUUUUUGAAAAUAUUUUUUUUUCCAAAAAAAAUUUUCUUUUAUUAUAUUUCAUUUAAAUUAAAUAAUUUUUAAUUAUUUUUUAACUUUUUUAUUUUUGAAAAUAUUUUUCUUUUAAAAGUUUGAAUUUUUUUAAAAUAAUUUUUUGCGUUCCAUUCUACUUCUACGAAGAUACUUUUACAAAAACUACAGCACAUUAAAAAAUAUUUGUUUAUAAUCAAACUCUGCACAAUAAAAAAGAGUUUUUUUAAUCAAAUUGCCCACAUAAAAUAUUUUGUAUACAUACAUAUUUUUUCUUUAUUCUGAAAAAAGUUGUAAGGUUUUAUGGUUUCUAUUAUACUUAUUGACUCAUGCAAUUUAAAUUUAAUGCACAUAUUUGUUAAUAUUUACUAUCGAAAACAUUAAAAGAAAUUUUAAAAAAAUCUAUCUUUAUAUUUCGAUAGUAUAUACCUUUAAAAAUACCAUACUAAAACUUUAAAUAAAUAUUUCAAAAAUUUUCUGAGUUACAGCCUUCUAAAGUGUAGUCACUCAGUACAAUCAAUUUAUCUUUAAACUGUUUCUCAAAACUACACUUUUCAAACUUAUUACUUUAAUUACUCGAAGAUAAAGAUUCCGAUACUAACAAAUUUUUUCUACAUGUUCUUUAUAUAGUUCUCCAUUUAAUGACAUAGGCUGACACGCCAAAUAUCAUUUUGUAACGGACAAUAUCCGGAAUCACUGCAGUAGUGAAUAACCUUGUUUUUACGCUAUCCAAGAUCACUUGUAACUGGAAAAAAUUUUAAUUUUUUUUCUAAAAAUAUUAUGUAUUUUUAAUAUCCUUAAAUAGUUUGGAACAAUCGAUACAGUUUUUGUUUUUUUUUCAAAAUCGCAUUUUUUAGGCUAUUACAAAAUGCCUUAAAGAAUCAUAGAAGGAUUUUUUUUCAUAGCGACAAAUGUUCGAAAAUUUACUUUUGAAACACUUCUGAAUUUAAAUUGAAUGUUUGAGCUAAAAAGUAAAUAUCAAACUGAUUUUUUUGGGCCAAGCCAGAUUUAAUUAAAUAUUGUAGAUAUAACUAUACAACCUCAUUAUGAGUUUUUACACGACCAAAAAUUUAUAAAAUAUAUUUUCUGCAGUAUUCAAUUUACCGAAUCCGGUAGAGUGGCGAAACAAACAAACAACUGGCAUAAAGAUGGAAGAAAGUAAACGAAGUAUCUACUUUAAUCCUUUUUUCACAUAUUAAAUUGUUUUAAAUCCAACUGUACUUUUUCUAUUUGCUUUCGUAUAAAAGAACCAAACUCAAAUUUAACAAGUGAACGGUAAAUCGAAAACGAAUAGAAUUGUACUAAAUUGCAAUUAAAUAUAAAAUGUAAAGCAAUUUUUUGAAAAAUUCUCUAUUUAUAUUCUAUUAUUAUUAUUUUUUUUUUGUUUUGAAAAACUUACACUGUUUCAACCAUAAAAAUAAACAGAUAAUUAUGCAAAAUAUGCUGAAAUUUGCAUGGCAUAUACGAGCCAGAAAUUUUAUUCUUUUUGCUAAUCAAAAACACUCGAAAAAUAAUUUUUUCUUGAUCUAAAUUUUAGAAAUAUUUUUUGCCCCAUACAAAUUUAAAUAUUAUUAUUGUUUCUUCCACACAUAUUAUGUAAAACCAAAAAUCCACAUAUCUUCCUGCCGGCUUUACAUCCAAUGUAUACAAAAAAAUUAAAUAUUUUUUAAAAACUGAUAUUUAACUUUAAGCGUUAAUAUAAAACAAAAAAUAAAUUAAAAGUUAUUGUGUCGUUCGAAUUAAAGACAAUGGAAAAUAUUUAUAGUGUUUAUUGAAAUUCAAUUUUCUUUCAAAUAAACUUAAACUUGUAAAUAUUUCAAUGUAAUGAAUUUAUUGUUCAGUUAGUUAAUUGUCGCACAGCAAAUACAAAUAACGGGACAUAAAAAUAAAUCAAAUCAAAUACAUAUAUAAUAAUGUUGGAAAACGUUAAAUCAUGACUCAAAUAUUAGCAAGAAUCUAUUAUAUAAUAUAUUUUACACAUUUAUGAAACUCUUAAAAAAUUAAAAAAACAAAACAAGCAACAAAUUAAAAAAAAAAGGAAUGAAACAUAUUAUUAUGUUAUAUUAUAUAUAUACAUAUAUGGAAAAUACUAUAUUUAUGAAAGUACAUAUGUAAUUUAUUAACAUUAGUCGCAUUUGCUGCACACAUUUUUUGCCUUUCGCUACUACUAUUACUACUUUAAAAAUAUUUUUAUAUUAAAAAAAAAUUUAAUAAAAAAUACAUACAUAUGUAUAUUUGUUUUUUUUUUUUGUUUAUUUUUCGAAAAUUUAUUUUCAUCGCUCUAAUGUAAGCUUUUAGAAUAAGCGAAUUUAUUUGUGAAAAUUUUUUUUUAAUUUACUUUUUUUUCGUACCCCUACUUAAUUUCAUGCAUAUAGUCAUUUUCUUUUCAUGUGAAAAUUCAUUUUAAAUUAGCUAAUUUGUUUAAUGCAAUUUAAUUACAUUUUUUAAUUAUUUUAGUUUAAUUUAAUUUUUAUAAGAAUAAGCAUAACAAAAAAGACCUAAAUAUAUGUACACCUGUAAUAUUUUGCUAAACGCGCUCUCUCGCCUUCAAUCGCUAUUCAUUUCGUUUGUAGUAGUAAUAAGUAAGUUAAUCUUUUAAAUUUGCUCUCGCUAUUUAAUUAAUUAUAAUAUUGAAUAAAUCAAUAAAAACAAUCAAUAUACAAAUAUCAUAAAUGUA